GGAGGUAGAUGGAGCUUGCUCUAUGUACCUUAGCAGCGAACGGGUGAGUAACACGUAGAUAAUCUGUCCUAUAUUGGGGGAUAGCCCGAUGAAAGUUGGAUUAAUACCGCAUACAGCUAUAUAGUUGCAUGAUUAUAUAGUGAAAGAUUUAUUGAUAUAGGAGGAGUCUGCGGCACAUUAGCUAGUAGGUGAGGUAAGAGCUUACCUAGGCGACGAUGUGUAGCCGGUCUGAGAGGAUGAACGGCCACAAUGGAACUGAGACACGGUCCAUACUCCUACGGGAGGCAGCAGUGGGGAAUAUUGCACAAUGGGGGAAACCCUGAUGCAGCAACGCCGCGUGAGUGAAGAAGGUUUUCGGAUUGUAAAGCUCUGUUAGCAGGGAAGAGGAAGGACGGUACCUGCAGAGGAAGCCACGGCUAACUACGUGCCAGCAGCCGCGGUAAUACGUAGGUGGCAAGCGUUGUUCGGAAUAACUGGGCGUAAAGGAUGCGUAGGCGGUUAAAUAAGUUAUAUGUUAAAUAUAUAGGCUUAACCUGUAGAAAGCAUAUAAAGCUGUUUAACUAGAGUGCAGGAGAGGUAAGUGGAAUUCCUAGUGUAGCGGUGAAAUGCGUAGAGAUUAGGAAGAACACCAGUGGCGAAGGCGACUUACUGGACUG
rnacentral:rRNA from 1 species